UAAUAAUCCCUGAGCCAUGGAGAAUGAUGUGGAACUUCAAUUAUCGAUGAGUAUUCAACAUUCUGCUCAUUAAACUACAUUUAAUACAUGUGAAGUUGUUCAGAAUUUUAAAUUAUUUUAUAAUGAGCUGCUGUCCUGUAUUUUGAAUAAAAACUCAUGAACUAGUACCUUAAUAAUCCUAGAAGGAGAUACACAAACCAAUAAAACAUCCUUUCUCACCCAGAUCAUCCAUUAUUCCCUGGAAUUCAAAUCCACAUCAGAUUUAUAAUGGGAGGCUCCUGAAAUAUUGAUUUGGUUAUAGAAAUAUCAAGCUUGGCAGGUAUUCUUCUUUGUCAUGGUAAGAGCAGAUUUCUAAAUGUUCCUGGACCAGCAUCACCCAAAAGUUUAUUACAGAAAGAAUCUUCAGUUUACCACAGUCUUCAUGAUCCAGAACCCACAUGUAAAUAUGAUCACCAGCUCUUUUCUCUGGACAUUCCACCUUGAAAAGUAUAGCUAUGUUGCCUGGCAUCUUGCAGUUGGUACCUUCUGAACAGAGUUGUGGCAAUGAAUAUCCUCUGCAUAUCUUCAAGCAGAAGCAGACACUGAUUUAUUUCCUUGUCAUUACUGCUCUUGAGAAAGUGUAUCAAUGAUAUAACUAGGUAUUGCAUCUCAUAGAGUUUGGACACGUAGCUCUGCAAGACUUUGGGUUGUAUUAAGUUCCAGUUUUUCAUAAAGACCACACAAUAGUCUAUACUUCCCUUGUCAGAAGCAUGUUGUGAACUGAGGAAGUGAAAGUUUGAAAUUCUCUGAUUGAGUGCUGACUAUUUUUUAUUGAGAUAGGGUCUUACUAUCUUACUAUCAAGGAUGGCCUAGAACUCAUGAUCCUUUUGCCUCUGAUUUCUGAGCAUUAGGAUUACAGGUGUGCAACACCACAGCUAUUUGAUCACUUCUGGAUUCUAAUGUAGGAGUGGCUGCCUAUCACCUUUUAGAAUGCCUCAGCUUGUUUGCCUGUUAAAGUAUAGCUGAGUAGCAUUAUUCUCUGUUGCUGUCACUGGGCAGGAGUUUCCAUUUACUUCUGACUCUGUGGCAUUUCUAAUAGCAACUUGAAGCAGUUUUAGGAAGAUAAUGGAGUAAGUAAGACAU